rnacentral:lncRNA from 1 species
GGGGCGGUGCGUCGAGCCUGCAGCUUCCCGGACCCCCAGCCCGCAGCGGGGCUGCUGGGGCCCCUUCCGCGAGCCUGGGGGCCUGGCGGAGCUGGACGAGGCUCAGGGUCACUUACAGAGAGACAGAGACAACCCCACAGACCCCGUUUUACAGCGGAGGACGCAGAGGCACAGGUUACCUAUUUCAAGCCACCAGUGAGAUACCACAGAGCAAACAGUUGGGAAGAGAGGCCCAGAAGUGACUCUUACCAGGCUGUGUGGUGCUCCCGCACUCUGCCGGCAGUGUCUCUCCCUAGUUGUAUGACCUGAGGCAAGUGAUUUCACCAAUGUAACCUCACUUUCUUCACCUGUAAAAUGGGCCAACACCACCUCUCCCAGGCUGUUCGUGUG